UUUAUGGAUGUUCGUUUGAUCAGCAGAAGGAGGGAGAAGGAGAGCUGCAGUCCAGUUGAACGGUCUUGUAAAAUACAUCAUGUUCUGGUCAUCUUUAGUGUUGCUUUUGGCAAUGAUAUCUUGUAUUUCUUCAUUAGACAUCACUCAGCCUGAGUUCCUGACUGUUCGACCUGGUGACACUCUGACUAUCAACUGUAAAGUCUCCUAUUCAGUUACUAGUUCGAGUAAUUAUGGAACAGGCUGGAUUCGUCAGCCUGCAGGAGAAGCUCUGGAGUGGAUUGGAGUGAUCUACUAUGAAGGGAGCUUAUACUACAAGGAUUCACUGAAAAACAAGUUCAGUAUCACCAGAGACACCUCCAGUAACACAAUCACAUUGAAGGGGAAUAAUAUACAAGCUCAAGACACAGCUGUGUAUUAUUGUGCCAGAGAAUCACAGUGA